rnacentral:rRNA from 1 species
GACGAACGCUGGCGGCGUGCUUAACACAUGCGAGUCGAACGGAAAGGCCCUGCUUUUGUGGGGUGCUCGAGUGGCGAACGGGUGAGUAACACGUGAGUAACCUGCCCUUGACUUUGGGAUAACUUCAGGAAACUGGGGCUAAUACCGGAUAGGAGCUCCUGCUGCAUGGUGGGGGUUGGAAAGUUUCGGCGGUUGGGGAUGGACUCGCGGCUUAUCAGCUUGUUGGUGGGGUAGUGGCUUACCAAGGCUUUGACGGGUAGCCGGCCUGAGAGGGUGACCGGCCACAUUGGGACUGAGAUACGGCCCAGACUCCUACGGGAGGCAGCAGUGGGGAAUAUUGCACAAUGGGCGGAAGCCUGAUGCAGCAACGCCGCGUGCGAGAUGACGGCCUUCGGGUUGUAAACCGCUUUCGCCUGUGACGAAGCGUGAGUGACGGUAAUGGGUAAAGAAGCACCGGCUAACUACGUG